CUGUGUCAUUGAACGAAGUGCCGUUGAGUAACCAAACAUAUUGUUCAAUGGUACCUGGAAAGAGGAGCAAAUGAUUUUUCAGCUAUGAUGUCAGUAGCAUGUAUGGAAAAUCACGUUUCUAAAGUACAGCAUAGCAUAAGCAUGAAAUACACCAUAUGCACAACUAUAACAUGACUUACACACAUCAAAGGAUAAUUAAAUAUAAUUUUAUCUACAACAUUGAUGCUCAAAUGUCAAGACAACCUGAAGAUUUUUACUUUACAUGAUUAAAGGAUUGAUUCAAUCUCAAGAAAGAUGAACCAGAGUUUAACUUAACACAAGGGUAGCCUUAAAAGUAACCUUAAAAGUUUAUCCAUAAAGAAUGAAUGAUUAAUUCAAUAGAAUAGAAAGAACAUCAAUAAGAACCAGAUACUGCGGUCAAAAGUUCAAUCAAUUGUUUGGAAUGCAGCUAAGCCAAACUAUUCAAGAGAAGUAAAUUUCCACUUACAUUGGCGGUAAUUACAGAAUCAUCUCCAUCUUGAUCAUUUCCAACUAUAACACCUUUCCUCCUACACAUAAUUGACAUGCAGAAAUUCAGAUGAAAAAGGUUGAAGAUCAAAGAAUUGCUCAGUCCAAAA
rnacentral:lncRNA from 1 species